GUGGGACCCGAGACGAACCCGGGCUUCCAGAGUAGAAAGUCGAAGCGUUUCCACGCGGCCAAUGUCACAACUUUUAAGCCUCUACAUCUUGUUUACAUCAGGGUUUUUCUUUAAGCGGGACAGACUAGUUGGCCGGAUCGGCCGCGUAGAGUUAGACUCUAAUCCAGGUCCUCCACCGGGACCCGAAUGGGAAUCUCCGGAAACCCCUCGAAAAUAUUUAUCGCGAGAUCCGGACCGGGACCGUACUCCACCAUCCGGCCGACCCUUCCGCGGGAGUGGGCAGAUCAGCUCGGUCUUAGGUCUCAGACAUAUGCCAUCAAAGGACAACGCUCUGCUCCGCCGAAAGGCACUACAGAG
rnacentral:lncRNA from 1 species